AUGUCUCUCAGUGCCAUAUUCCAUGCAAGUGCCUGUGUCAGUACCUCAUGUCCCAUUUGUGUCCCAUCCUGGUGCCUUAUGUCCCAUCCCACUGGCUGCUGUCACAUCUUGGUGGCUUCUGUCCUCUCUCAACUCCUUGUGUCCUAUCCUGACACCUCCUGUCUCCUCGUGACUCCUCCUGUCCCCUCCCAGUGGCUGCUGUCCCAUCCUGGUGCUCUGUGUUCCAUCCUAGCACUUCCUAUCUCAUCCUGGUGCCUUGUGUCCCAUUUCAUGUUCCCUCCUGGCACCUCAUGUCCCAUCCCAGUGGCUCCUGUCCUGUUCCAGCUCAUCCCAUCCCAUCCUCAUCAACCCAUGUCCCCAUCUGUCACCUUGUGUCCCAUCCCAGGGCCUCCUGUCCCAUCCUGGUGCUUCAUGUCCUCCUGUACUGUUUCCUCCUGGCUCCUGCUGUCCUGUCUCAUGUCCCUUCCCAGUGGCUCCUGUCCCAUCCCAGCUCCUCCCAUUCCAUCCCAAUGUCCCGUGUCCCAUCCUGUCACCUUGUGCUCCAUCCCAAGGCCUCAUGUCCCACUCUGGUGUCUUCUGUCCCAUCCCAUUGUCUCGUAUAUCCUGGUGCCUUGUGUUCCAUGUCAGCUUCUCGUGUCCCAUCCCAGUGUCCCGUGUCCCAUUCUGGUGUCCCCAGUCCCAUCCCAGUGUCCCCAGUCCCAUCCCAGUGUCUCGUGUCCUACAUCCUGGUGCCUCACGUUCCAUGUCAGCUCCUCGUGUCCCAUAUCCCAUCUCUGUGCCCCAUGUCCCACCCUGCUGUCCCCAGUCCCCUCUGCCCCCUCUGUUCCUGUCCCUGCUCUCAUUCCACCUAUUCCCAUUCUCCUUCCCUCCCAUUCCCACUCUUUUUCUACCCAUUCCUGCUCUCAUUCCCUUCUGUCCCAGCUCUCAUUCCCACACAUUUCUGCUCCCAUUCCCGCUCUGAUUCCAUUCUCAUUCCCUCUCUGUCCUGCCAUCCCCAUUCCCACCAUUUCCAUUCUCAUUCCCUCUCUGUCCUGCCAUCCCCAUUCCCACCAUUUCCAUUCUCAUUCCCUCUCUGUCCUGCCAUCCCCAUUGCCACCAUUUCCAUUCUCAUUCCCUCUCUGUCCUGCCCAUCCCCAUUCUCAUUCCCACCAUUUCCAUUCUCAUUCCCACUGUCAUUCCCACCCUUUCCCCGUUCAGUUCCCCCCUUCCCCACUCGGGUUCCCGCUCUGA
rnacentral:lncRNA from 1 species